GUUACUUCUUUGCGCCGCCGGCCUUAUUCUUGUUGUCCGUGGAGGUCCCGCCGCCCGCGGCCUGCGCCGCCUUCUUCGCGGCCUUCUCCUCCAGCGCCUUCUUAUCCCUCUCGCGGCGCUGCUCCGGGGUGAGCCCGUCCUGGGGGCCCUUGGCGUUGGGCUUCCGCGCCUGCGCGCGCUCGCGGUCGCGGUCCCUCUGGUUG
rnacentral:misc_RNA from 1 species